GGAAUAUUGCGCAAUGGGCGAAAGCCUGACGCAGCAACGCCGCGUGGGUGAUGAAGGCCUUCGGGUUGUAAAGCCCUGUCGCCCGGGACGAACAAGCUCGUGAAGAACGAGCCCUGACGGUACCGGGAGAGGAAGCACCGGCUAACUCUGUGCCAGCAGCCGCGGUAAUACAGAGGGUGCUAGCGUUGUUCGGAAUUAUUGGGCGUAAAGGGCGCGUAGGCGGCCCCGCAUGUCGGAUGUGAAAGCCCACCUCUCAAAGGUGGAAUUGCAUCCGAAACUGCGAGGCUAGAGUGCCGGAGAGGGUGGUGGAAUUCCUGGUGUAGAGGUGAAAUUCGUAGAUAUCAGGAGGAACACCGGUGGCGAAGGCGGCCACCUGGACGGUUACUGACGCUGAGGCGCGAAAGCGUGGGGAGC
rnacentral:rRNA from 1 species